rfam:Heligmosomoides polygyrus genome assembly, scaffold: HPBE_scaffold0002031
GCGCCGGUGGUGUAAGGCGAACAUCGCUGCCCGGAAAGCAGAAGGUGCUGGUUCGGGUCCCGCCUGGUGCA